UACGUAGGUGGCAAGCGUUGUCCGGAUUUACUGGGCGUAAAGAGCGCGCAGGCGGUCGGAUAAGUCGAAUGUGAAAGCCCCCGGCUCAACUGGGGAGGGUCAUUCGAUACUGUUCGACUCGAAGGCAGGAGAGGGAAGUGGAAUUCCCGGUGUAGUGGUGAAAUGCGUAGAUAUCGGGAGGAACACCAGUGGCGAAGGCGGCAUCCUGGACCGACACUGACACUGAGGAGCGAAAGCCAGGGGAGCAAACGGG
rnacentral:rRNA from 1 species